GACGAACGCUGGCGGCGCGCUUAACACAUGCAAGUCGAGCGAGAACCAGGCCUUCGGGCCUGGGGAAAGCGGCGAACGGGUGAGUAACACGUGGGUAACCCACCCUUGGUACCGGGAUANCCCGAGGAAACUCGGAUUAAUACCGGAUGGCCCAACAGCUUUUCGGAGCGGUUGGAAAAGGUAGCUUCGGCCUCCGACCAAGGACGGGCCCGCGGCGGAUUAGCUUGUUGGUGAGGUAACGGCUCACCAAGGCGACGAUCCGUAGCUGGUCUGAGAGGACGAUCAGCCACACUGGGACUGAGACACGGCCCAGACUCCUACGGGAGGCAGCAGUGGGGAAUCUUGCGCAAUGGGCGAAAGCCUGACGCAGCGACGCCGCGUGGGGGAAGAAGGCUUUCGGUUG
rnacentral:rRNA from 1 species